rnacentral:rRNA from 1 species
CCUACGGGAGGCAGCAGUGAGGAAUAUUGGUCAAUGGACGAGAGUCUGAACCAGCCAAGUAGCGUGAAGGAUGACUGCCCUAUGGGUUGUAAACUUCUUUUAUAUGGGAAUAAAAUGUUCCACGUGUGGGAUUUUGUAUGUACCAUAUGAAUAAGGAUCGGCUAACUCCGUGCCAGCAGCCGCGGUAAUACGGAGGGUCCGAGCGUUAUCCGGAUUUAUUGGGUUUAAAGGGAGCGUAGGUGGAUUGUUAAGUCAGUGGUGAAAGUUUGCGGCUCAACCGUAAAAUUGCAGUUGAAACUGGCAGUCUUGAGUACAGUAGAGGUGGGCGGAAUUCGUUGUGUAGCGGUGAAAUGCUUAGAUAUCACGAAGAACUCCGAUUGCGAAGGCAGUUCACUGGACUGCAACUGACACUGAGGCUCGAAAGUGUGGGUAUCAAACAGGAUUAGAUACCCGGGUAGUC